rnacentral:tRNA from 1 species
GGCUUUAUAGUCAAUGGAUGAUGUUAGAAUGCAAUUCUGAAGUAGUAUAUUUUAUACUAAAGCCU